GACGAACGCUGGCGGCGUGCUUAACACAUGCAAGUCGAACGGAAAGGCCCUGCUUUUGUGGGGUGCUCGAGUGGCGAACGGGUGAGUAACACGUGAGUAACCUGCCCUUGACUUUGGGAUAACUUCAGGAAACUGGGGCUAAUACCGGAUAGGAGCUCCUGCUGCAUGGUGGGGGUUGGAAAGGUUCGGCGGUUGGGGAUGGACUCGCGGCUUAUCAGCUUGUUGGUGGGGUAGUGGCUUACCAAGGCUUUGACGGGUAGCCGGCCUGAGAGGGUGACCGGCCACAUUGGGACUGAGAUACGGCCCAGACUCCUACGGGAGGCAGCAGUGGGGAAUAUCGCACAAUGGGCGGAAGCCUGAUGCAGCAACGCCGCGUGGGGGAUGACGGCCUUCGGGUUGUAAACCGCUUUCGCCUGUGACGAAGCGUGAGUGACGGUAAUGGGUAAAGAAGCACCGGCUAACUACGUG
rnacentral:rRNA from 1 species